rnacentral:rRNA from 1 species
UGGGGAAUAUUGGACAAUGGGCGAAAGCCUGAUCCAGCCAUGCCGCGUGUGUGAAGAAGGUCUUCGGAUUGUAAAGCACUUUAAGUUGGGAGGAAGGGCAUUAACCUAAUACGUUAGUGUUUUGACGUUACCGACAGAAUAAGCACCGGCUAACUCUGUGACAGCAGCCGCGGUAAUACAGAGGGGGCAAGCGUUAAUGGGAAUUACUGGGCGUAAAGCGCGCGUAGGUGGUUUGUUAAGUUGGAUGUGAAAGCCCCGGGCUCAACCUGGGAACUGCAUCCAAAACUGGCAAGCUAGAGUACGGUAGAGGGUGGUGGAAUUUCCUGUGUAGCGGUGAAAUGCGUAGAUAUAGGAAGGAACACCAGUGGCGAAGGCGACCACCUGGACUGAUACUGACACUGAGGUGCGAAAGCGUGGGGAGCAAACA